AGACAUGAAGGAGAAAGAAAAGGAUAAGGGAGAAAAAAGAAAGGACAGAGGAAAAAAAUGAACAAUCAGAGUAAAGGAAGCAAGCACUCUCUAACUCCUGACCUCGAGUGAUCCUCCUGCCUCAACCUCCCAAAGUGCUGCGACUACAGGCGUGAGCCACCGCGCCGGGCCUCAACCAGCGUUCUCUAGAGCGGUGGAUCCCAAAUGCCAUCUGAGGACCAACAACAGCAGCGGCAUCUGGUUUUCCUAGGAUAAUGUGUUGGAGGGUUCUGAACCCCAGAAGCUUUACACCUAGAACUCUUCUGAUCUACCUUUGGUCAUUGACGUCCCAGCAUGAAUCAGUGACUCAGUCCUUCCAGAUGGAUGCAGGAGGAGUUGGAGCUGGAGGAAAAGGCGAUGUGAUGACAGAAGCAGAAAUUGGAGCGAUGUACUUUGAGAUGGAGGAAGAGGCCACAAGCCAAGGAGUGCAGGUGCCUCUAGAAUCUGAUA
rnacentral:lncRNA from 1 species